UGUAGCAAUACAGAGUGGCGGACGGGUGAGUAACGCGUGGGAACAUGCCCUUCGGUUCGGAAUAACCCCGGGAAACUGGGCUAAUACCGGAUGGUUCCUACGGGAUAAAGAUUUAUCGCCAAAAGAGGAGUCCGCGUCCGAUUAGCUAGUUGGUGAGGUAAAGGCUCACCUAGGCGACGAUCCCUAGCUGGUCUGAGAGGAUGACCAGCCACACUGGAACUGAGACACGGUCCAGACUCCUAGGGGAAACAGCAGUGGGACUCCUACGGGAGGCAGCAGUGGGACUCUUCCUCGAGGCANCGAUGGGACUCCUACUGGAUCCAUCAGUNUAUUCUANAAAUCUCCAGCGAAUUUUAG
rnacentral:sRNA from 1 species